CUUCCGUAGGGUGAACCUGCGGAAGGAUCAUUACCGAGUGAGGGCCCUCUGGGUCCAACCUCCCACCCGUGUCUAUCGUACCUUGUUGCUUCGGCGGGCCCGCCGUUUCGACGGCCGCCGGGGAGGCCUUGCGCCCCCGGGCCCGCGCCCGCCGAAGACCCCAACAUGAACGCUGUUCUGAAAGUAUGCAGUCUGAGUUGAUUAUCGUAAUCAGUUAAAACUUUCAACAACGGAUCUCUUGGUUCCGGCAUCGAUGAAGAACGCAGCGAAAUGCGAUAAGUAAUGUGAAUUGCAGAAUUCAGUGAAUCAUCGAGUCUUUGAACGCACAUUGCGCCCCCUGGUAUUCCGGGGGGCAUGCCUGUCCGAGCGUCAUUGCUGCCCUCAAGCACGGCUUGUGUGUUGGGCCCCCGUCCCCCUCUCCCGGGGGACGGGCCCGAAAGGCAGCGGCGGCACCGCGUCCGGUCCUCGAGCGUAUGGGGCUUUGUCACCUGCUCUGUAGGCCCGGCCGGCGCCAGCCGACACCCAACUUUAUUUUUCUAAGGUUGACCUCGGAUCAGGUAGGGAUACCCGCUGAACUUAAGCAUAUCAAUAA
rnacentral:rRNA from 1 species